rnacentral:lncRNA from 1 species
AUAUUCUGAGGAAGAUCUGAUGGAAUUAAAGGAAGAAUGGUGUCAGUACGUGCUUGACUUGAAAAUUAUUUGAUUUUCUGGGAAAUAGCUUGCUGCUGGGCAAGGGAUCUGAAUAUUAUAUGGUAGCUAGUGCAUAUAAUGUAUAUUCUGUUAGUUAUUAUAUGUAAAUGAUCAUAGGACACAAUAUAUGAACAUGCAUAUGGA